CGCGAAUAGCUCAUUACAACAGCCACCGUUUACUAGAAAAUCGUUAUCCUACUUGGAUAACUGUGGCAAUUCUAGAGCUAAUACAUGCGAAAAAGCUCAUUUCCUCUGGAUUUGAGCGCAUUUAUUAGAAUAAAAACCAAUCGGGUCUAAAAGCCCGUAAUUUGGUGAAUCUGAAUAACUUUGCCGAUCGCACGGUCCUAGUACCGGCGACGUAUCUUUCAAGUGUCUGCCUUAUCAACUUUCGAUGGUAGGUUAUACGCCUACCAUGGUAGUAACGGGUAACGGAGAAUAAGGGUUCGACUCCGGAGAGGGAGCCUGAGAAACGGCUACCACAUCCAAGGAAGGCAGCAGGCGCGCAAAUUACCCACUUCCAGAACGGAGAGGUAGUGACGAAAAAUAACGAGACAGUCCUCUUCGAGGUCUGUCAUCGGAAUGGGUACAAUUUAAAUCCUUUAACGAGGAUCUAUUGGAGGGCAAGUCUGGUGCCAGCAGCCGCGGUAAUUCCAGCUCCAAUAGCGUAUAUUAAAGUUGUUGCGGUUAAAACGCUCGUAGUUGGAUCUGCGGCCUCGGAGAACGGUCCCCCGAAAGGGUGGUCACUGUUACUCUAAGCCUAAAUAUCUAGUCGGCUCUAUGGUGCUCUUAACCGAGUGCCUAGAGUUACUGGAACGUUUACUUUGAAAAAAUUAGAGUGCUUAAAGCAGGCGAAAUAGCCUGAAUAAGGUGCAUGGAAUAAUGGAAUAGGACCUCGGUUCUAUUUUGUUGGUUUUCGGAGCCCGAGGUAAUGAUUAAGAGGAACAGACGGGGGCAUUCGUAUUCCGGCGCUAGAGGUGAAAUUCUUGGACCGCCGGAAGACGGACGACUGCGAAAGCAUUUGCCAAGAAUGUUUUCAUUAAUC
rnacentral:rRNA from 1 species